UAGCUGUUUUCACAGUGAUAUAUAUUAACAUUUUAAUACGAAAAUCUCCAGGCUAUUGACAUGGGAGAAAUGGAAACUUCUGAAUACGACCUGUGGCAGCUGUUCAGUAAUUUGCUACAGCUGAGUCAGAGUUCAAAAUCAGUAGAGUUCAGCCUCUCUUCCUUGCCUGCCGCCAAAUAUCUGGUGCAAUCAAAAAUCAGUAAUUCAGUCAUGUGGACUAUCUGAAAGGUCCGAGGCAGUGCAGGAAAUAAGCCCCUCCUUCUUUAUUCCUUGCUCAUUUUACGUGUGUCUCCAUAUUUGUGAGGCAGUUUUCACAUUUCACCCUGGCAUAUCACUUUUUCCGUGGUUUUUCCUUUCUGUGAGUUUUCUUCCCUAUGACCAGAGGCUAAAUACCACAGCUUGCAGCUUCCAGGCAAGGGGGUGGGGAUAGGGAACAGAUUUUGCAGUAUCUCUAGCAAUCUUCCAAAUAAAUAAUAGCCGCUUGGGAACACAGACUUUUGUUUCAGCAGUUCAGGAGAAUUCGUUCUUAGUAGAGAAAACUCAUUUGCUGGUGGCAGUGAUUCAGGCGGCUAACUUCACAGAGAAUAUUUCAGGAGCCAAAUUCUUUCUCAGUUAUGGAGGUCAGAGGUGAGGUAACUGUGCUUACAGGGCAAAGCUUUUAUGGAUUCCCUUGGCUUUCUGCUUUCUUCUUUACAGCUGAUUAACACCCAAUGGCCAUUUCUUUAAAAAAGAAAAAUUCAAUUUCUCAAUUUAAUUAACUUCCCUAACGCGGUAUUCACCACAGCCUGCCGGUAUCCAGACAAUGACUUGAGACUUCAUAAUACUCCAUUUCAGGUCAAGGUAAUUCAUUGCUGCAGCUCACUAAAUCCCAAAUACUGUCUCAGGGCUGUGUGGUCAAAAUAAGGCCUGGACUUAACCCUUGGCUGGCACAUGCAAGGACACCUGAAUGCUAAGUAGUGGAUCUACAAUAGGCAUGGAGGGUGAUGAAGCCACAAAGGCCUUCUAAAUUACCUCACCUUUGUCGAUGAUCUCUGUUCCUGGAAAAAGCCCAGGACACAAGAAAGGAAACAAUUCCGAGUGACCUUUAAAAAGAACCUUGAAGAAGGUGUUAUUGUAUGUCACUGAGUCUAAGAUGCACAUUUUUUUCACCUUUUUAUUCCUUU
rnacentral:lncRNA from 1 species